GUCAGUGUCCCUACCAAAGGUGUCAUUUUCCAAUAUACUCAUGCUUCCAUGUGCCAAGGUGAUGUUGCCUUCUUUCAUGUGCUGGACUCAGAAGGUCCUCAAACAAACUCAGCAUCAUCUUGGGCCCAAAGGUAGCAUCCAAUGGUACAAUUACCUGAAGUUAGGUCACAGCCCUCUCUCAGGGCUUUUCUUGUCAGCUCUCCUUCUAUAAGGAGUUCUCAAAGCAUCCCCCCUUCAUCCUCCUACCCACUUACCUUAACACUGAGCUACGUUCCCAGCUUCCUUGGAGGAAGUACAUACUAAGCUGAGAAAAUACUUCCCAUUCUCCUGUUCCCCAGUCUCCUCCAUAAAAGUCUACAGAAACACAGUUUUGACUCAACUAUUUCGAAGUCAAAAUGCAUGCUUUGCUUCUCAUGCUAAAACAAUCAUCUUAUUUCAGAUGUGCAGUUUCCAAAACAAUUUACCUCUGCUGGAACAAGGAAAUAAACCAAGAAAAAGGAAGAUAUGGGAUCCAGGAAGCAGAAGAUUCAAUACAGAACAGAGAUGGAGGGAAUUCCAGGUCCACAUCUGUGCAGCAGACAUGGAAAGCUGUCAGUACAGACUGGAACUGGAGGAUGGAGGGAUCUGGGAGAGAUGUCUCCAGGAAGGCAAAAGCAUGCAACUAAAAGGAGUGAUGAAUUUCAUAAUAAGUUUGACUCACAAAAAAAAGUGUACCACCAUGCUAUCAGAAGGUAUGGGAAGAUUUAGCAGUAAGUAUAAAGGAAGCUGAGCAAAUAAAAAAUCCCAAGGCAUUAUUAAUUCCAGGAAAAAUAAAAAGUUGCAUCCCCAAAGAAAGGAGUUGUGAUCAUGGUCCACUAGUAACUUACCAAAGAAUAAUAUUUAUACAGUAGUAAUAAUGUAAGUACUAAGAACUGAAUUAACCAAAAGUUGGUGAUAUAGGUAGAAAUGGGAAGAGAGAGACAUUUUAGAGGUAAAUAUUCUCUAUCAUAAUAGAAAGUUAAAUCAUUACUGUUUCAAGAGAGGAGUAUAAGCAUGGAGAUAUGGAAGUAUAUUCCAUAAGAAACAAAUACGAAUUGAAAGUAGAUAUAUAGGGGAAGAUGCAGGUUUCCUAUGAGUGGGGGGAAAUGCAGGUUUCCUAAGAGUGGGGUAAGACACCACUGUAAGCCUUUGAUUAUUAUUUGACUUGUUAGAUUAUGGGCUUCUUUAAAUUUAAUAAAAAUUAAAGUUAAGCAUUUAAAAUGUGUCUUUAGAAUAAAAUGACUUAAAGGUUUCUAUAAGAAUGAAGAGGCAAGGAUCUAUUAAACAAUUCUGAAGUUUUCAUUUAGAGUAUUUUUUCACCCAAAAGGAGAAAGAAUGUUGAAAUCUCACUAAUAGACAAAAAAUGGUGACUUUAAAGAAAGAGUUUGGUUAAGUUUUGUUUUUUGUUUUUUUCACAUGUGCCAAAUGACAUAUAGCUUUCCAAC
rnacentral:lncRNA from 1 species